GUGUGUGUGUGUGUGUGUGUGUGUGUGUGAAGCAUCAUGAUGGAUGUGUGUGUGCAACAAACGUCAUAUUUGUAUCAACCGAACACGUGUGUGUUUGCACAUGUAUGACACAUUGUGACAGUCUAAAGGUUGUGAAGGUCUGUCUGUCUCUGGAGGUUGGACCAGGUGUGUGUGUCUGUGUGUGUGUGUGUGUGUGAGACCUGAGCCAUCAGACGCGGAGCGCCAUGCGACGCUUCCCGUCAGGACAGGACGGGUUUCACCUUUAUUUAUUCAGCCGCCGCUAAACUCAGGUAGCAAAUUACAGGAGAGCAAAUUAAUUUGAGGCGUGAAGGAAACCGAUUAAAGGUGAGAGAGGAGGCUGAUGUGGCGGCGGGCGUCACGCCACGCUUGUUCAAUUUGACCGACAGAGAGCGGCUCACGCUCUGAUUCGAUUCAGCAGCAAGGGCGUCUUCUUCACGCCGUCUCCUGAUCGCUUAGUCAUGUCUGGGUCUCAGCGUCCGGCUGACCCUUUCCUGGACAAAACCACAUACAGAAGGGGUCCAAAGUGAGGUCCGGGGGCCAUUUUGGCCCUAGGAUUGAUUCAUGGGUGUACCAGAAACACACAAACAAGGUUCCCACUGGAACUUUAAUAUGGAAAAAAACUGAAGAAAAUGUAAGAAAAUCAGUACAAGUUGAUGUUUUUAAAGUGAAACCAUGUGGAAAGUCCGUUUCCUUUUUACAGAUUACUGCCGUGUGAAUUUAUUAACAUAAAACA